rnacentral:rRNA from 1 species
AUUGAACGCUGGCGGCAGGCUUAACACAUGCAAGUCGAGCGGGGUGAUGGUGCUUGCACUAUCACUUAGCGGCGGACGGGUGAGUAAUGCUUAGGAAUCUGCCUAUUAGUGGGGGACAACAUUUCGAAAGGAAUGCUAAUACCGCAUACGUCCUACGGGAGAAAGCAGGGGAUCUUCGGACCUUGCGCUAAUAGAUGAGCCUAAGUCGGAUUAGCUAGUUGGUGGGGUAAAGGCCUACCAAGGCGAUGAUCUGUAGCGGGUCUGAGAGGAUGAUCCGCCACACUGGGACUGAGACACGGCCCAGACUCCUACGGGAGGCAGCAGUGGGGAAUAUGGGACAAUGGGCGGAAGCCUGAUCCAGCCAUGCCGCGUGUGUGAAGAAGGCCUUAUGGUUGUAAAGCACUUUAAGCGAGGAGGAGGCUACUUUAGUUAAUACCUAGAGAUAGUGGACGUUACUCGCAGAAUAAGCACCGGCUAACUCUGUGCCAGCCGCCGCGGUAAGAC